CGCACUUGUUCCGGUCCAACCCAGCAUCUCGCCUCGAACAGUAAGACAAGGCAAGAAAAAUGUUGCCGAUUUUUAAAACACGAUUGUCAAGUAAACGUAUUAAGGAGCAAAGCCGUUCAGUCCUAGUGCAAGGAUAAACAGAAAAAUAAAAUCUUGUGACCGUAAAUGGAGGCAGCUGAGAGGAACACUGGGAAGAAAGCUAAUGCAGAGAGACUACUGAUUUCAGCCAUGCUAUUGUGGGUAAGGACCCACACAGAAACUGAGUAUCAUUACACAGAGGAGGGAAGAAAACUCAGAGAGAGUCAUCAAUGUCAUUCUCCUCAUCCCAAGGCCUUCAAGCAAGUUAUCCAUCCAGCUAUUUGACUACAGGAGGUGCAUACCACAGGAAACAAAGGAACUAAGCAGAAAAAUAACUGGACAAAGUGGAUUACAAUUUAGUCAGUCAAAAUACUUAUGUGAAUAGGAAAUUAUUCACCAUUUCAGAACACAUCCCUCUAGUAGUUUCUGGGCAUAAUAUCCGAUUAGAUUUAAAUGCUUUCAAACUCUGUAACCUUUCUUACUCAUUUUGGUGGAUGAUAUCAGAUAUUUACUAUUUUCAAAAAGCAUUAAGAAAUUCCUUUCAAUAUCUGCUUUGAAUUUAUGGUUCAUUGUUUGAUGUUUAUGACUUCUGCCAUCAAUCAUUUUAAUGCAAGAUCCAGGAUUUACCGCAAGUAGGCCCCUUGGCAUUUUAUUUACUUCAGCAAGAUUCUCAUUCUGCCCUACUAGGAAUGGAUGUAUUUUCUUUGAGUCCUAGCUAACAGUUCAUGGCACCCACCCCCACAUUUUGGAAUCACUUUUUUUGCUCAUGUUCUGCCAUUCGCCACACUCAACGUGUGUUCAUCUGCUCAUAUAUCACACAGGAUGAGAGGUGGUGAAUUGCAGCCAGCAGAAUAGAAUCAAACAAACUCUUCAGGUGCGUGAAACUGCGAGAGAGGCUGAGUAUUCUGAGAAACUAGACUGGAACCACAAAGGCUAUUUCUAUCCCACAGUAGCCCACAACUCUAGAAAUCAACUGGCACAUCCUUUUAUUUUAAUAUAUUAGGCAAAGCAACAGGGUGGGGUUUAAAAUGUGACCUUGCAAGCCUCCACAAUAAAGAAACAUUAUCUUAAAAGUAAAAUUUUAAUAAAGCUGUUUUGAAUCUGUAAUUCCAAGCAGCAAGGUAUUUUUCAAGAAAAUUCCCCUCACAUAAAAGAGAUUUAAAACUCACAUUUAUAUAAAAAAAAUCUGCAGCAGUGGCUGAUUACAACACCAACAUGCAGGAUGAUUUCCUAAUAUUGCUAUUUCUGAAAGAAUCGUUCAUGAUUUUGCUGUGAAUCGUGACCAAGUGAGGUAUUUUUUUUCCUCUCCUCAGUCUUUAUGUAACAGUCAGCAGGAUAUCAUUUUUCAGUUGGCAGACUUGGAUCACAGCCCCAGUUUGAGGAUAACGAGAAGGAUCGGGAAAAAACAUAGGAUUGAACAAGAGCUUGAAUCUUAACAACCUAUAGGCUGCAGAAGGUAUCAAGGAGGUAAGAAAUCCUAAUUAGAUCCACAUGCAAGAAUUUCUAAAGCCUCUACCUUGUAGGAAGUGAGAGAUGAGUGAGAUAAGUUGGGAUCAAGUGACACCAAGCUUAGAUCUUCAGUGUCUGCAGAUUGUACAAGUGAGAAGAGAUUGAAGAGGCGAUACCAAGUUUCAGUCCCAACAAGUUGUGAUUUGUAGGACAUAAAAGCCGGGGGGAGGCAAGGAAUGGGAAUUUGAUGACCCCCCAAGCAUGGAUUCUUAAAUCGUUGGAUGGGAAGUGGUGACAGAUGGAAUUACAGUUUUGAGGUUCAGGUAAGCAAUGUGCACGUGUGAGUUGAGAAAUCGCAAUAACACCAUCUGGCUGCAGAUGGGAUGACAUGGUAUGGCGUAAGGCAUUAUUUGUAAACAAGAUAACAGAGUAAAUUAGCCAGUGAUCAGUCCAAUAAUUCUCCUUAUCUGUGUGAUGGCAUGUGUGAUGUUCUUGCCAUUGUCACUCACCCAAUAACCCAAGAUCUAGUGCCUGGGUUGGAGGCGUUUGUAAUAAAUAAGAACAACUUGUAGUUUAGUAACUUUAAUGUAAUAUAAUGUCCUAAUUUUAGCAAACAAAAUCUGACAAUAAAGUGCAAAGAGCAAUAGUUUGGUCCAAACUACCAUUUUUUGGGCAAGAUACUGAACCAGGAUCCCAUUUGCCUGUUCAGAGGAAUAUUAAGAACUUUAUGGCACCAUUCACAGAAGAUCGGCGAGAUCACCACACAAUAUUCCUCUCUUAAUCACUAUUAAAAUCAGGUUUAAAUGUCCAUUGCUACAUAAAUGGUCUUUCCAAAUGUAGAUAGGUUACUCCAUUCAGCAAAGAGGCUAAACAAAUUUGAGAUGUUUCUGAGAAAUCACAAUGCUUUUACAUAAAGGCAAAUUUUUCUGAUAAAUUAACUACCUAAAGCAGAAAGAUAAAAGGUAGCAAAUGUAUCCCUUAUACAAAAACUCCUGUGUUGGCUUGUGUACUAGGACACUGCCUUAGACCAAUAUAAUGCAGUUUUUGAUAUGUCACAAACCCAGAUCAGAGAUGUUAACACAUUAGCUCUCACAGCUGUGCGCACUGGCCCAAGGGAAUCCACGUUCCAAUAGGUACAUGAUAAAAUUAGUGAAACAGAAACUGUUAAUUAGAUAAAUAUAGAUUAAUGGAUGUUUUUAAUUUAGUGAUCAUGGCAGUCUAUUUCUUAAAUUAAUACAAAUAUUCUACCAAUUUUUGCAGACAUUAUAGCUAUUGAGCUUGUUUUCCAUGAAUUUCUUCUUUUCCUCAGAUGUUACUGAUUAAUUCUAGGGACUAGUUCUUAACAGCUAUCAGAGUACCAUUGAAGUAAGUGUGUGUGUGUGUGUGUGUGUGUGUGUGUGUGUGUGUGUGUGUGUGUGUGUGUGUGUGUGUGUGUGUGUGUGUGUGUAGAGGUUUCAGUACAGCUGUGCUGCUCAUGGUUGAAUAGCUUGUCAGUAUUAAUUGUAUAACCUCACACAAGAACUGGCCCUGGGUGAGCUGAUCUAUUCAAAACAGAUAAUGUUUUUCCAUAAUUAUGUUCAAUUCUCAUGACUUACUGCUGGCAGAAAUUAAAUCACACUCGUUAAAGAUCAUACAGUUAAUUUCCAGAGGGUAAGGCUCUAAAUUUGCAAAAACACAUCUUGUUCAUUACAGAAUUGUUUAUGUAAGGGGUAAAGUUAUCAUUUGUGAAUGCAGGAAAUUCUGGAUUAGCAGAAACUCUGUAGAAAUUCCAAACCUAAGCAGCCAAUGGACAGUGUUCUGUAUCUGGGAAACAUGUGAAUGAAUCCUCUCACGUUCUCCAACUGAAUACAAAAGUAACCCGCCAUUUGGCUGUUAGUCCCACCCUUAGCUCCUCCCUUCAACCAUUUUGACAAAAGGUCUUCUUCCAAAUCAUUAACCAGUCUUUUUACUUUUAGACAUUAAUGGGUCUGCCAUGAAUUUUAAACAUUUUCUGUGUUCUUUUCAUGUUUGCUGCACUCAUUCACUGUUAAAUAUUUCUUGGGCAUAUCAUUCUACAUAUGCCUUAGAUACUAAACAACCACCAUGGUCUUAACCUGAAAUGUUGGUCCAACCAUGAUUCUGGCUUCUGCCCUCUUCCUUUCCAGUCCUGAUGACAGGUAUCAGCCCGAUAUGUUGACUGUUUAUUUCCCUCCAUGGAUGCUGCCUGACCUGCUGAGUUCCUCCAGCACUUUUUGUGUAUUGCUCCAGAUACAUCCAGCAUUGCAGAAUUUCUUGUGUCCCAGCUAUAGUGUAAGAUAACAUUUUGAUAAAUGUGUUUAAGGUUGUGCUGUCUAAUGAAUUAUUAAAGGAUUUAUUC